UACUAGCUUGUGGUCGACACUAGCUGUAGGUAAGUACCCAGCCGCGCAGGGGCCAGGCCUGGGAAGACAGAGUAUUGUAACCCUACCGGCAGCCCCCCUGCGGGCCAAUCAGAACCGCUGUGGAAAUGGGCCAGUGAGCCAGGCUACUGUGUCAGAAGGGAGUCCCUUUACCGUUACGAGCAAUUCCAGCUGGCCCACUAGACGCAGAGCAAAUCAGCAAAUUACAGAACCUCUGAGACAGAAGGUUUUAGUCCGUGCCUCACUUACUUCAACUGAUUAAGCUCAUGAAUCUGAAGUUUUCUUUUUAUAAAGACUAAAAUUGGAUGGGUUGUCAGCUUUUAAAAUAUCGUUAGCUUUCCUAAGUACAACCACCAAAAUUAAGGUAAACCUUUCCCCCCGAAUUAUAUAAUUUUAUUCCUGUGAAUUCAACAUUCAAGGAUUUUCUUUGGAUAGCAAGAGCGGCAGAGAGGACACACGUGGAAGGGAGAACUGUCCCCCAAGGAGAACUCCUCCAGAGCAAGGAGACACGUGUGGUGAAACACGUGUGAGCAGGACAGGAGGACCGUGUGCCGUGACGAGGGCGCCGGGUGAGCCUGGCUGCCCACGGAGAGCGGGCUGAGGCAGACGAGCGCUCGGGGCUGUCCGCAGCAGGGCCUGCAACACAGAAGGACGCGGGAGUUGGUCACGCAGGUUGUUAGUUUCAUCAUGAUAGGAAGUUCCGGAAAUUUGAGUGCGAGCUGUAUACUGACAGACGUGGAUCUUCUAAAAAUGAAGACACUUCAUUCUGUGUUAAAAUGGCAUUCAUUAUAUACGUACUCUGCUAGUCUUAUGAAAAAAUGGAAAGGGUAGAAACCCACCUGGGAUAACCCAUUUUGAAACACAAAUAGUUUAUAAAAUGCUGAACAUUAAUAAUAUAGAUUUUCUUUUAAUUAGGCAAGGAAGAGUAGUCUUUUUCAAAAUUCUUGGUACUCUGUAGCUGCUAAACUUCUUUAUACAUUUUCCUCUUUCUGUGAUUUUCUAAGCAAGUGUUUCCUCUGUGGGAUUUGGAGUGUCGUUCUUUCACGGCUCCUACAGAUGCAAGAGGAGGGCAGGCUGGGACCUGCGGGGAAGCUCCGGGGGGCGGGGGAGGAGCAUGUGGGGAGGCCUUUUCCCUCGGCGCUUUCACAAAAUGCCAUCAUCAAAGCGGAAUUUCACACUCAAGGGCCUUGGCGCUCACCCCAGAGUGGGUGGUGAAGGUCCUGGGGCCCCACGUGCUGUGGGCACAGGCCGGGCCCCCCCCUCCUGGUGGGUCCCCCCCCAAGCAGCACUGCAGAGCCGCUGGCAGUCCUGUCCUGGGCACAGCCUACCUGUGUCUGGAUCUUCCCCCAGUCCUCUUCCGUGAGCUCGUGGCCACAUGUGUACUCCAGCUGCUGCAGCACGCUGCGGUUGAGGGCCAGGCAGCGGUCGAUCUCUGAGAAGAGCUCGUCUAUGUCCGUGUGGUAAGAGCACAGCAGGCGGUGGCUGAUUUCUGUGAACUGGGGACACGGCGGGGGCACACUUACUCACAGGCAGUGAGAAGUUCUGGAGGCUUUGAAAUCCGAGCGUGUUGUGCACGCGCAUCCCAUCUCCAUCUGGACUGGACGGCCACAGGUGGCUUGUGGCUCCCUGCACUGGACAGCGUGGCCUCGUGGCUCAGAAAGACAUACACUAGAAAGGAGUGACCGUCAUGUCUGGGCACAGAGAGGUAGCCAAGCCAGGGCCACUCCGAUAGCUCCUUUGUUAAACGUUUCAAGACUGAUCAAUUAGCAGUGUCCUGGUUGAGAGAUUGUGGCUCUUUCACGGAACUGGGCAGGAUGAAAGGAACUCAGCCCAUCGAACCUCGCAGUCAUUUAGGAGCGUGAUGCGUGGAACGUGUUCUCCAUGGACGUGGGGGACUUUCCCAUUUCAAGUAUCCUACUCUACUGGACAUCCCGUGUGCGCGGUUUGUCUGUUCAUUUGUUUUUAUGUGGAUAACCUGGCGGGAUGCCAUGUCUGUGUAAGUCACCUCCAUUAGAAGUUGCCUUCACGGACCUGGUGUUCCCUUCCAACUCCCAUCUGUCCUGCAAGAAGACUCGAGCCUGCGCGGGCAGCGGGCAGCGGCUGUGGUGAGUGAGCCUGCCCAGCCUUGGUCCCUGGGUGUUAACCAGGAUGCGUGCUGGGUUUCAGGGAAAGGCCGUGCUGUAACACGGCAGGCGGCCCACGGGCUUUGAAUCCAGGCACCUGUGUUUUGGGGUUUUGCAUGCAGUUGAUUUUCAGCCAUACUUGGAGGUCUGGAGGAAGAAGCUUUUCCAUCUAUGAAUCCAGUUCUGUUUCUUGCUGAUUCUAAUUACACUUGCCUGGCAGCUGGACCCUGACUUAUGGGCUCCAGCUGGCAGUGUUUCAUUUUCUCUGUUCCUCAGCCUUUCAAAUACCUGAUAAUCUCCAGAUAAAUUAUUGAAAGUAGGAGAGUUCCCGAUACUUUAUAAAAGGAAGAAUUACUUGGAAAUGCAUACAGCUGCCUUCCAAUUAAUGUUUUAUAACUCACGUUUUCUGUAAAUUGGGUUUUCUUGAAGUGUGAGAUAUUUCCCAUUUAGACCUGUAAGGUAAGGUCUUUUCUUCCUCCAAAAUGAUACCUCAGAAUAAAAAGGAUCACGUUCUGUUCCAGAGUGUCUCAGAUUGUGAGGUAUGUUCUCAAAUUAGUUCUGAACAGAAGUGCUACUUGGAGCAGACAGGUUGGUGUGAAAGGAUCGCAAUGCUUCUUCUCAGGUGAGGUCCCUGGACCCGCAGCAUCUGCAUCACCUGGUAACUUGUUAGCAAUGCCAACUCCCGGGCCAGCCCAGCCCUCCUGGGUCAGAACCUGCAGGUAGGAAGCAGCCGUCUGUGGUUGAACAACCCCCACGGGGUUCUGAUGCUCACUCAUGCUUGAGAACUGCCAUCAUAGAAGUUUCCCGAUUAAUUUUUGAGUCAAAGUUAUUUAACACAGCUUUAGUCAUCAUUCCUGGAGACGUAACCACCCAACUCCCAAGUGUGAGGUGUCCCCGUGAGCUUUCAAAGGUCACGUAAGAGAGCAACGGAGUAAAUGUGGAGGCCACGAGUAUUUAUAUAUCCCUCUCUGUAUAUAUAUGUUAAUGUCACGUGUGUGGCGAGGUAUCUCUGUGGUGCUCUUCCUACACGUUAAGUGAGUUCUCACGGCUUGAGUUGGAGCUGGUGUGCACGCCGCUGGGUCCCACGUGGCCCCAGUGGGGACAGUCCCUGAUGUCGCCUCCCUGCGCUGCAGGCCGCCUCCAUUCCUUCUCACUGUCAGCUCAGGCGCUGGGAGUGCUGCGCUCAACGCUGGCCCACCGUGCAGAAUUCUCCCUGGGUCCCCGGGUUCCCGCCUCUGUUUGUCUGUGGGUCGCUCUGUAUGCCAGUUACGGGGGACACAGCAGAAACACUUGCUGAAGAAACGGGCUCGUCAGUUUCGCAGAUGCAGCUAGUGCCUCUGUGGAGGGCGGGUCUUAAUGCGCCCGGCCGGCCACGCUGGCCUCCGACCUUAGUCUGCUCCCUGCCCCUUCGUCUCUUCGGGGUUUCUCCAUGACACGGCUGGUUGAAACUGAUACCGUUGUCAAAGAGUGUUUCCUGCCUCUUUCCCUCCAGGAAGGUGGGGCGCACCCAGAGGAGGCCGUGAGUCUGGUGGGGAAGCAGGCAGGGGCUCCGGGGCGAUGCUCGGGUCUGCAGAGGCCGCUUGAAAACAGCCGCUCCCCACCUGGAACCACGUUCUGAACGGGCGAGGUGCAGGGUCAGUGCCGGACGCAGGUGUGCUCGUUUGUAUUUUCCUGUCCGCCACACCUGGCAUCACUUUCACACUCGUUAACGACCAUGCUUUCUUCCUCGGCUUAAAUGGAAAGCAUGGCGUAAAUGAGAAAAAUAACAAUCCCCUUUAUAUGCAGUGGUGGUUAAAGACUUAAAAUGCAGGUUAUUCAACCUAAGCUAAGUAAUUUUGCCUUUACCCUGCCGUUUAGCUGUGGCAGGGUGAGGGAUAGAAAGCAUAGAUGGGUCCCAGAGGAGCCUGGGCCGGGCCGGGCUGGGGCACAUCUUGUUCCUUUAACGACAGGGCGCCCAACCCAGCAGGAAGGCGGGGUGGGGCCGGGAGAGGGUGCGGAAGAGAGGGUCUGACAGCGAGGUGCAGGGGCAGAGGAGGAGCGGGCAGGCGUAGGCCAGGCGCCCCCAGCUGCUCCCUCACCCUCACCGCCUGCAGGGGACACUGCCGUCCCCACCUCGCCCUCCAUCGCUGAUGCCAGCUUCUCCCCAGCCUCGCCCCCGCCUCUCCUCAGGAAAGGCACUACUUUGCCGUAGGGAUCUUCCGGUCUGGCCAGACUCACUCAGCCCACGAAUGACCGUCAUGCUCCUCCGUCUCUGCGACCUCUGCACGGCCCGUGCGUCCCCCGCGCCUGGGCUGGACGUGCGCUCUCUCCGGACGCCCAGAGAGCACUUUUGGCCCCUUCGCUUGACACUUGUCACCGGCUGGAUGCUCAUACCUUUUUCCUGUGUGUAUUUCUUAUCUCCUCGUUCCUUAGAUUCAUCUUGGCGAGGCCCUUAGCGUUCAAUAAAAAAUGUCGACUUUAAGUUUGCAAUAGAUUAGAAAUGGAGACACAUACAUGCCCUAAUGUGCAUAUUCUAAAGGACUGCAGUACAAGUUCCUUUGUGGGGAUUAAAAAAAAGGACAGUGUCUGCGUGGAAUGAUGCUGAAGGAACCUGCCGUGUCAAGAUUCAGUGAGGCAUCAACGUUUGGCUUCUAAUUAUAACAUUGACGUUAGCUUGUUAAUAAACAUACCGA